rnacentral:rRNA from 1 species
UACGGAGGGUGCAAGCGUUGUUCGGAAUUACUGGGCGUAAAGGGCGCGUAGGCGGUUGCCUAAGUCGGACGUGAAAUCCCCAAGCUUAACUUGGGAACUGCAUCUGAUACUGGGUGACUUGAGUUCGGGAGAGGAAUGUGGAAUUCCAGGUGUAGCGGUGAAAUGCGCAGAUAUCAGGAGGAACACCGAUGGCGAAGGCAGGUCUCUGGGCCGAUACUGACGCUGAGGAGCGAAAGCGUGGGGAGCGAACAGG